GAUGAACGCUAGCGGCAGGCUUAAUACAUGCAAGUCGAGGGGCAGCAUGACUGUAGCAAUACAGUUGAUGGCGACCGGCAAACGGGUGCGGAACACGUACGCAACCUACCCAAAACUGAGGAAUAGCCCGGGGAAACCCGGAUUAAUACCUCGUAACAUAAUUGAGUGGCAUCAUUUAAUUAUUAUAGCUCCGGCGGUUUUGGAUGGGCGUGCGCCUGAUUAGAUAGUUGGCGGGGUAACGGCCCACCAAGUCUGCGAUCAGUAACUGGUGUGAGAGCACGACCAGUCACACGGGCACUGAGACACGGGCCCGACUCCUACGGGAGGCAGCAGUAAGGAAUAUUGGUCAAUGGACGCAAGUCUGAACCAGCCAUGCCGCGUGAAGGAUGAAGGUCCUCUGGAUUGUAAACUUCUUUUAUAUGGGACGAAACCUCUUUUUCUAAAGAGACUGACGGUACCAUAAGAAUAAGCACCGGCUAACUCCGUGCCAGCAGCCGC
rnacentral:rRNA from 1 species